GGAAAGCUCAGAUUGCUAAAGCAUCCCUUGGUGAAGUACAAGUAGCUUUUCAAGGCUGGAGCGUAGGGACAUGCUGGGGAGAGGAGAUGGGAGAGAGAAGGAGGAAGCGGUCAGGGUCCACCCACAAAGGGUCACUGAUUGUGCAGAACCUGGCAGCAAAGACACCUGAUGGAUUGGUUAAGGUUUUCCAAACGUCUUUGACCUUGGGACCGUUUCUUUCUUCUUUUUUUUUU